GGCUGUCACAGACUGCUGGACUGGGGCAGGAGUCCUGCCAGACAGGCUGCCAUGGCAGUGGCGGAGGUGAUGGGAGCGGGCAUGCAUUUUCCAUGGAAAACAAAACUGAGUCACUGGCCCAGCCUGAAGGAUAAUUUUAGUGCAGAGGGUGAAACCCAACCCUCUCCUUCAGCGUGACAUGGGCUGUGACGCAGAGCUGGCAACUCAGCUGCUGCUGUUUCAGGAACGUCAAAGCUGUUUAUCAGGCCUGGGCAAGCGUGGGAAAAACCUUGGCGGGGAGCAGGGUGAGCCCAGCAGGUUUUCCUUUCAUUUCUGCUCCUUCCCUUUUGCUCAUGAGCCCCUUUGCCUGGCGUCAUGGAAGCCUGAGCUGAGCCCAAUUAAUGGUGACGGCCGGGCGCUGAGGGCGUGAGCAACACCCCCGUGCAUGGAGUGAGCGCGCAGGGCACAAAGGUUAAGGAGUAAGCUACUGAUGAUCCUGUGACCUGCCUUUCUGUCAUGUGGGAACAUGAUGCAGUUUGCCUCCAGCAUCAGUUUGUGACCAAGGAUGCAGAAGAUGCAGGAUGUGAUACAACAGACAUGCCAACACCUCUCAUCAACUGGUAUUUUGGGACAGCAGCAAUUGCACAUGAGGCAACUCUGGUCUCUCUGUUGAACAACCACAUGUAGUUCAGUGUAUGUUGCUCACAUAUGACUCGCACUGCCCUUGCUCUUGAGACAGAACUGCUGGCAAAAUAAACAGGUCAAGUGUAGCUCAGAUACAUCAGGUAUAUAAAUGCUCAAUUCCUACUGAAAUAAAUGCAAGUGAAGGCUGCAAACACUGUUCGGAAGUGGACUUCACUGAUGUUAGGAAGUAAAGGGUAGUGGGAAAAGAGAUGUGAGUUUGCAAGAAGUGUAAGCACUAAAACGUAACUAACUUCAAAGUGAGAAACACACUGAUUUUGUUAAUGUCCCAAAAUAAGAAUGUCAAACUGUUCAGAGAUUUCUUGACUAAAACUGACUUUGACAAUGGAUUAUCGUGUUUCUUCCUAUGUUGUUCAUGAAAGUUGGCAUUCCCUGGUAAAUGGCAGCACUCCCAUGGUGUGCAGCAUGCCUUGAGGCAGCAAAAUCUGUCCCUAAUACUAGAGUUAAGCAAACUGUUAAAAUAGGAACUGAACCAAAUGCCCAGAUCUCCUCCCCAAACUCAAACUAAACCUUUCUUUGAGGUUCAGGAAUGUUUGGUUAACUUUAAAUUAAACAAUGUUGUGUUUCUACACAUCCUGCUUUCAGAGAAGACUCCAAACAGAAACAGAAAAAUAUGGCAGGCACAUCUAUGUUUGCACUAUUUCUGGCCCAGCUGAAACCAGGAAACACUGUAAAUCUCACAAAAUCAGCUUUGCCUCACACACUAUCCAGCUACCAGGUUCUGUUGCUGUAAGCCCACAGAAUACAAUAUAACUGAUGUACAUACCAAUUUAUUAUUAAUUUUUCACCAAAUAACUGUGAUAAACAAGCUUCCCAGACUAUUAGACAUAUGAACCCCACAUUUUUAUUCAAUUGUGGCAGCAUAUUAUAUAGCUACCUUAUAUUCCUUUUAUGCUCCUUCUCAUUGAGUCACUGGCGUAGUUGCUUAAAGACAAGAUGUCUCUUGUGGUACAUGACAACAAACCAAAGCACAUCAUAGCAAAGAUAACAAACCAGGCAUACGCACGUUGUGCUUCAUAUUUGGUUUGUGGCUAAUUCAAAAUACGUAAUCCUAAAUUUUGCUGCUUGGUAUCUCUUUGACAACUCUCUGCAUUGGAUUUGUAGAGCAUAAAUAUGAAGACAACAGCAUUGUUUUAGAGGAACAUAUUUAGCCAUAUAAAAUUGCCCUGCAAGUCAGGGCAAAAAUUUUAAAGCACUUUUUGUGUACUGUAACAGAAUUUUGCAAAUUUGCAAAUUCAUAUUAAAAGAAACACUUAAUGCUCUUGCUAGAAACUGUAUCACUGUCAGCAAAA